GACUCCAUAGCUAAGUGGUUAUAGCAUGAGAUUGCAGUGAUUACCGCAAACGAUCAUAGGAUCAUCUAAUCUCGGGGUCGUGUGUUCGAGUCACGCUGGGGUCU